rnacentral:lncRNA from 1 species
AUGACGGGGGAAGUCCUAUCUGGUGGAGAGACUUCCGAUUGCUUCAACAUCUCCAAUGGCGUGAAACAAGGCUGUGUCCUCGCUCCGGUACUAUUCAACCUAUACUUCACCCAAGUAUUACGACAUGCUGUGAUGGAUCUAGACCUGGGAGUCUACAUCAAAUACCGACUGGAUGGCUCACUAUUCGACCUUCGCCGCCUGACUGCAAAAACAAAGACAACAGAGAGACUCAUCCUGGAAGCUCUCUUUGCAGAUGACUGUGCUCUCAUGGCCCACCAAGAAAAUCAUCUCCAAACCAUUGUGGACAGGUUGUUCUCUACCGCAACAAAACUGUUUGGCCUGACUAUCAGCCUCAGCAAAACAGAGGUGCUGUUCCAACCUGCACCAGGGAGGCCAACGAACCAGCCAUGCAUUACAAUUGACAGCACGCAGCUUUCUAACGUCAACACUUUCAAGUACCUGGGCAGCACCAUUGCCAACGACGGGUCCCUAGACCACGAGAUCAAUGCCAGGAUCCAAAAGGCCAUCCAGGCACUUGGGCGGCUGCGCUCCAAAGUCCUCCAACACAGCGGUGUAAGCACUGUGAUGAAGCUCAAAGUGUAUAACGCAGUGGUCCUCAGCUCGCUCCUGUACGGUUGUGAGACAUGGACACUGUACCGGAAGCACAUGAAACAGCUGGAGCAAUUCCACCAACGCUCCCUCCGGUCAAUCAUGAGGAUCCGAUGGCAGGACCGAAUCACCAACCAGGAAGUCCUCGACAGAGCCAACUCCACCAGCAUCGAAGUCCUGGUCCUCAAAACCCAGCUACGAUGGUCUGGACACGUCAUCCGCAUGGACCCACAGCGAAUACCAAGACAGGUAUUCUAUGGUGAACUGUCAGCUGGACUCAGGAAACAAGGCCGACCAAAGAAAAGAUUCAAGGAUCAGCUAAAGUGCAGCUUGAAGUGGGCUGGCAUGACACCAAAGCAACUAGAACUCGCUGCCUCUGACAGAAGCAGCUGGCGAACCCACAUUAACCAGGCCGCCACCACCUUUGAAGAUGAGCGACGUCGACGUCUUGCCGCUGCGCGUGAACGCCGACACCAGGCCACAACCGCACCUCCCGUAACAACUGGCGUCCCAUGCCCCAUGUGCCACAAACACUGCGCCUCAGCCUUUGGACUCCAAAGCCACAUGAGGGUACACCGUAGAUGA